AUGCUUUUGAAACUCCUGAUUUGCAGCGCUUUCAGAUUUCCAUGGGCUAGAAACACCCGGAGGCUGCUAGAGUAAAUACCUCGACCAGGCUGAUUUCAAGCUCGGACUGGUUAACAACCAGUUCACAAAGUUCUUGAGAAGUGAACAAUAGGCUCUUGCAAGCCAGAAGGAGCCUAUUCUGGUACACUCAGCCGGGUAGAGAUGACAGUCUCAGAUCAUCGACCUUUGGGAAGAGCCCGGACACAGAAAAUGACCUCAGAAAUGAUGGGAACCAGGGAGUCUAAUGCCAACAGGAUUCUCUGCAAACCAACUUAUUAUUUUUUUCUACUACAGAUACACUCUCUCCAUGUUUCAAGAGACAUGACUACUGGCAGCUUCUAGAAUCAUGUCCUCAUGUGAUUCACAACCAGAGAAAAAAAGAAGGCCUCUUUUCCAGACAGGGCUGGUUUGAAGAACCCCAGUGAAGGUUGACCAGGCAUACGUAAGCGUAAAACAUCUCCACCAGCACCUGGUGAGGGAGCAGUUGCAGAGGUGAGUUACCAGUGUCAGGCUGAGGUACGGCCCUGUCCUCUCCUUCCCAGUUCGAGAUUCCUGAUGCUCAUUAAACAUCUGGAUUUUAUCAGAAGGCCUUGGAUGAAUGACUCCAUCAGACUAGGUUGUCCCCUGUCGUGGGUAAACUGGAUCAGCACUCCUGCAGCGCCUCCAUCGAAGGCUCACGGAGGCUGGAAGGAGCCUGAAGGUGUUCAGAAGUGUCUUCGCACAAGCUGGGGGAAAGGAAGAGAUAUUUCUAGCUUUUCCUCCUCUUCUCCACCCACAUUCCCGACCAUCUACUACGCUUUCGGGGGGAAGAAGAG